UACUUUAUAUUGAAUGCAGAGGUUACGUUUAAUGUUAUCGAAUUUAUCAGUAUUAUUUUUAUUGUUAUAGAAGACAAAUGAUAAGUUUUCCUGAUUUCAUACAAUCCUGGUAGCGGCAGCAACUGAAAAAGUACACAGCACCAAGAUCAUGUUUUUGAAGAAGUUAGAGUCACUCAGUCAUAGAUGUUUGGAUAGCUUCAACAUAUUUCAUAAGAACUUGUCCAGACUUGGGAGGAAUAUCUAGUGACACUUGUAGAUUUUCUUGUUCUCACUUUGCUUAUAGAGACAAAUUUAUGACUUAAAUUGUUCGUACAAUAUUAUUUAUCUCAUGAAUACGAACCAGUUGUGCAUGGUAUCCGGUGUCCAUCGCCAUCACUUAAAGGUUAAUGGUUUCAGUUCAAUGUACAACUAUUAAAGUUAUGCAUCGACUUUUCCAACAAGUGACUUUCCCGUAACAAAGUACACGAAAGAUUUGGACGACAAUGGAACAUAUUAAGAUGUGUUUUAAAACAUGAGUAUGAUCCAUAUUAAUCACUUAGUAACAAGCAAUUUGUUGAGUAUGUAUCUAUUUUCUGAUUGUUUCAUAAUUGUUAGUAGGAGGUCUAGUGGUAGAGCGCCAGCUUCGAGUGCAGGGGGUCAUGAAUUUGCUCCCUAGCCGUGUCUAACCAAAAACGUAAGAGUAGUACUAGUUCUGCCCUCGCUUGGCGCUCAGCAUUAAAAGGUUAGUUCAAGGACUGGUCAUCCCGGUGUCAGUAUAAUGUGACUGGGUGGGGUAUUAUGUCCCGUGUCUACGGUGUGAUAUUCUAGUGAGGCAUCACUAUUAACUUGAACAUUGUGCUCAUUGCUACAACGCUAAUAUGACUAAAACGACGCUAAACCCUAGUACACAUAAACACGUAUAUUCAAUAGUUGUGUUCAUUGAUGAAUCGCUUUGCGAUUAAAACGUUUCUGAUUCUUUUCUUGUAUGAUAACAAGUGAAUGCUGUGUUUCUUAACUGACAAGUUCAAAUUUAGCAGCUUUUAGAAUUAAAUACGUACUUUAUUUAUGCAAAGUCUUCUUACAGAUGACACGAUGUACAGACAAGAAAGCAAACUAAAUAGCAAAAUUGAUAUUAUCGAUGAGACGGAAGAUGUCUAGUACGUAUCAACGGCAUCUGAAAUACACACAUGCAUGAGGAGAACAUAAGCAGAUUAUUUCAACAAGAACAGUUGAAAAGUUUUAACAUUUUAUACAGCGAAAAUGACAACACAAAUUAAAAGCGGAGCAUAUGCUAUUGGACUCAAUGAACACAAAUUAGCAAAUCAAUAGCAAACUUGUUUUGACUGAGUAUGUUUGUGAGGGAUAAUUAAUGACACCCUUCUAACUCCUAGCAUCAGCUUGAGUGGGACCAUAUCAUAAAAGUGGAACUCAUUGAAUCAUAUCACUUGUAUGUUUGUACAAUAUAUUUUAAUGAAGACGUAAACGCACGUUGCAUGUUGUUCCACAGAUAAUGUGUAUUGUCUGUUCAAUAUUUUCUGUGACUUCACUAAAUAUUUGUCUCACUAUUUUUCUGUGAAGUUACAGUUAUUUAGGUUUUAAAAUGACUAUUCAUGGCUGAAUUCUGUGAUAAGCAUUGGAAGUUUUGAAACUUUAUUCUAAAUGUUAAAAAUCAAACUUACCUAAUAAAUAUUUUGAAUGGCA